UACGGAGGGAGCUAGCGUUGUUCGGAAUUACUGGGCGUAAAGCGCGCGUAGGCGGCUUUGUAAGUUAGAGGUGAAAGCCCGGGGCUCAACCCCGGAACUGCCUUUAAAACUGCAUCGCUUGAAUCCGGGAGAGGUGAGUGGAAUUCCGAGUGUAGCAGUGAAAUGCGUAGAUAUGCGGAGGAACACCGAUGGCGAAGGCAAUCCCCUGGACCUGUACUGACGCUCAUGCACGAAAGCGUGGGGAGCAAACAGG
rnacentral:rRNA from 1 species